rnacentral:rRNA from 1 species
GAUGAACGCUGGCUACAGGCUUAACACAUGCAAGUCGAGGGGAAACGGCAUUGAGUGCUUGCACUGAAUGGACGUCGACCGGCGCACGGGUGAGUAACGCGUAUCCAACCUUCCCGUUACUGCGGGAUAACCUGCCGAAAGGCAGACUAAUACCGCAUGUUCUUCGAUGACGGCAUCAGAUUCGAAGCAAAGAUCCGUCGGUAACGGAGGGGGAUGCGUCUGAUUAGCUAGUUGGCGGGGCGACGGCCCACCAAGGCGACGAUCAGUAGGGGUUCUGAGAGGAAGGUCCCCCACAUUGGAACUGAGACACGGUCCAAACUCCUACGGGAGGCAGCAGUGAGGAAUAUUGGUCAAUGGGCGGAAGCCUGAACCAGCCAAGUAGCGUGCAGGAUGACGGCCCUACGGGUUGUAAACUGCUUUUAUGCGGGGAUAAAGUGAGGGACGCGUCCCUUUUUGCAGGUACCGCAUGAAUAAGGACCGGCUAAUUCCGUG